GAUGAACGCUGGCGGCGUGCCUAAUACAUGCAAAUCGAGCGAAUGGAUUAAGAGCUUGCUCUUAUGAAGUUAGCGGCGGACGGGUGAGUAACACGUGGGUAACCUGCCCAUAAGACUGGGAUAACUCCGGGAAACCGGGGCUAAUACCGGAUACCAUUUUGAACCGCAUGGUUCGAAAUUGAAAGGCGGCUUCGGCUGUCACUUAUGGAUGGACCCGCGUCGCAUUAGCUAGUUGGGGAGGUAACGGCUCACCAAGGCAACGAUGCGUAGCCGACCUGAGAGGGUGAUCGGCCACACUGGGACUGAGACACGGCCCAGACUCCUACGGGAGGCAGCAGUAGGGAAUCUUCCGCAAUGGACGAAGGUCUGACGGAGCAACGCCGCGUGAGUGAUGAAGGCUUUCGGGUCGUAAAACUCUGUUGUUAGGGAAGAACAAGUGCUAGUUGAAUAAGCUGGCACCUUGACGGUACCUAACCAGAAAGCCACGGCUAACUACGUGCCAGCAGCCGCUGUAA
rnacentral:rRNA from 1 species